AUUCUGAUCUCUUAGGUAGGAAAAGGACAGUGCUGCCUUCCUCUUAAGAUCCACAAAGGACUUAUGGUGACGACCAGGCUAUAAGGUCCACGAGAGUAGAGACGAUUGCUGGCUGUGCUUAUCACUGUAGACCCAAAGCCUGAAAUAGCAUCUGGUUCAUUAAACACAUGAUGAAUAUAUGUUGAAUAACUAAAUGAAUGAAAACACCGUUCUUCAAGCUCCCACUAACACCUUACCACUCUCUACCAUGUCAACUUAUUUUAUUAUAACAAUUGCUCACCAUUAAACCAUAUGGUCCUGGGAGA